rnacentral:rRNA from 1 species
GAUGAACGCUGGCGGCGUGCCUAAUACAUGCGAGUCGAGCGAACGGACGAGAAGCUUGCUUCUCUGAUGUUAGCGGCGGACGGGUGAGUAACACGUGGAUAACCUACCUAUAAGACUGGGAGAACUUCGGGAAACCGGAGCUAAUACCGGAUGAUAUUUUGAACCGCAUGGUUCAAAAGUGAAAGACGGUCUUGCUGUCACUUAUAGAUGGAUCCGCGCUGCAUUAGCUAGUUGGUAAGGUAACGGCUUACCAAGGCAACGAUGGUUAGCCGACCUGAGAGGGUGGUCGGCCACACUGGCACUGAGACACGGCCCAGACUCCUACGGGAGGCAGCAGUAGGGAAUCUUCCACAAUGGGCGAAAGCCUGACGGAGCAACGCCGCGUGAGUGAUGAAGGUCUUCGGAUCGUAAAACUCUGUUAUUAGGGAAGAACAUAUGUGUAAGUAACUGUGCACAUCUUGACGGUACCUAAUCAGAAAGCCCCGGCUAACUACGUG